AAAUCAUCCAACUCAUUAUAACUCAUCUAUAAAAGUUGCAUAAAUACAAUAAUGAGUCUUACUUGAAUUCAAUCAUGCUUUCGCAUACAAGCAUGAAACAGAGUGACCACUAGAUUACAAAGCAACUUGUAACUCACCCAAUCUUGUAAGUGACCAUUAGAUCACAAAGUAAUUUCAGUUCAACCCAAUCAAUCUAGUAGGUGACUCUAACCCCUUGGUAUCUAAGUAUCUCCCCAAUAAGCUCACCUUUCCCAGACCCAACAUACCUCCCACAUAUCUCCCCAUCCCUAAUGAAUAAGAAAGUCGGCACCUCCACCACGUCCAUGUCCCUCAAGAACUCCAUGCAGCUGUCGUUCUCAUCUCCGUUCAUCCUCGCAAACACCACCGUCUCCGCCAUCGACCGCGCCAGCUUGAUCACCGUAGGGUACACCUUCACGCACGGCCCACAGUGCUUCAGCCCCACGUCCAGCACCAGCAGCUUCCCAUCUUCUUUGUGUUCAUUCAUCAACUUUUCAACAUCCCCCCUGCAGUGCAGCUGCACCACCGGUGAGUGGUUGUCGCCGUAGUAGAGAACAUCUCCGACGAGCUCGUCGGGGCCGAUGGCCUCCUCGUCAUGGAUCUUCUCGUUCUGUUUAUAGAAGCUGAAGUGGGGCACCUUGUCGAUGCCCUGACGGCGGCAGAGCUCACGGGUUUCGUCAGACUCGUCACCCAUGACAAGGAGGAAGUCGACGUCGGCGCAUGUGCGGCUGAGAUCCACCAUGAAAGGGUAUAUAUUGCGGCUGUAGUGGCUGCGGCUGGCGGCGAACUCGACGACGACCAGCUUGUUCUUGGCGGAGGUAAGGGCGAGUUCGAAUUCUUGGAUGGUGUGGACUUGUUGGACACGUUCGUCGCUUGGUUGCUUGUGGGGGCUAUUUGAUGGUGUUUUGGGUGCUGUUGCGGCGGGCUUUGGAGAGACAGCCAGCGGCGGCAGACGAGGGGGGCGGUUGCUCGGGGCGGCGGUGAAGGAGAGGGUGGUAGGUGGCGUGAGGGAUGAAGGGUCGGAUUUGAUGAGGGAUGGGAGAGAAGAUGGUGAUCGAGAGAGGAAGGUGGCGAUGGAGGCCAUGGAGAUGAUGGUUUAGAGGAAUGUUUGGUGAUGGGGUGUGUGGGG
rnacentral:misc_RNA from 1 species